rnacentral:rRNA from 1 species
GAUGAACGCUGGCGGCGUGCCUAAUACAUGUAAGUCGAGCGAACGGACGAGAAGCUUGCUUUUCUGAUGUUAGCGGCGGACGGGUGAGUAACACGUGGAUAACCUACCUAUAAGACUGGGAUAACUUCGGGAAACCGGAGCUAAUACCGGAUAAUAUUUUGAACCGCAUGGUUCAAAAGUGAAAGACGGUCUUGCUGUCACUUAUAGAUGGAUCCGCGCUGCAUUAGCUAGUUGGUAAGGUAACGGCUUACCAAGGCAACGAUGCAUAGCCGACCUGAGAGGGUGAUCGGCCACACUGGGACUGAGACACGGUCCAGACUCCUACGGGAGGCAGCAGUAGGGAAUCUUCCGCAAUGGGCGAAAGCCUGACGGAGCAACGCCGCGUGAGUGAUGAAGGUCUUCGGAUCGUAAAACUCUGUUAUUAGGGAAGAACAUAUGUGUAAGUAACUGUGCACAUCUUGACGGUACCUAAUCAGAAAGCCACGGCUAACUACGUG